UACGAGGGGGGCGAGCGUUGUUCGGAAUUAUUGGGCGUAAAGGGUGCGUAGGCGGUUUGGUAAGUCUCUUGUGAAAUCUAUGGGCUCAACUCAUAGUCUGCAAGGGAAACUGCCGGGCUUGAGUGUGGGAGAGGUGAGUGGAAUUUCCGGUGUAGCGGUGAAAUGCGUAGAUAUCGGAAGGAACACCUGUGGCGAAAGCGGCUCACUGGACCACACCUGACGCUGAUGCACGACAGCUAGGGGAGCAAACAGG
rnacentral:rRNA from 1 species